rnacentral:rRNA from 1 species
UACGUAGGGGGCAAGCGUUGUCCGGAAUUAUUGGGCGUAAAGCGCGCGCAGGCGGCCUUUUAAGUCUGGUGUUUAAACCUGGGGCUCAACCCCGGGUCGCAUUGGAAACUGGGGGGCUGGAGUGCAGAAGAGGAGAGUGGAAUUCCACGUGUAGCGGUGAAAUGCGUAGAGAUGUGGAGGAACACCAGUGGCGAAGGCGACUCUCUGGGCUGUAACUGACGCUGAAGCGCGACAGCGUGGGGAGCAACCAGG